rnacentral:lncRNA from 1 species
AUGAUACCCAGAGAGUGGUGGGGACCCUUUAAGCCACAGACAGGCGGUGGCCAAGCCAGGCCGAGGACGUGGCCCAGCCUCCCAGCCCUUGAGUCCUUCCCUGCAGCAGGUGUUCUGCCCGGGAGCUCACGGGGUACCGCUGAGCCAUCCCACCUGCGUCCUGAGCAGCCCCCUGGAAGGAGGAGGAAGAGGGUGCUCUGGCAGAUGGGGCGUAUUCUAUUCAGCUGCCAGCGUCAUUACUGUGUGACCCCGGGCAGGUGGCUUGCCUUCUCUGUGCCCCGCAGCCCUGGCCCCUGCGACCUCCUAGGUGUGGGAGGCAACCCGGGCAUGACCAGCAGAGGUGUCGUGGGCCAAGGGCCGUCCCAGGCUGGCAGGGUCCCGAGGAGACCAAGUGGGGUGCCUCGUGUGACCACCCCGUCCUCUCACCCCUCCAGCUCCAACGAGGAGGUCACCGCUAUGAUCCGGGCUGGGGACACCACCAAGUUUGACGUGGAGGUUCUCAAGCAGCUCCGCAAGCUCCUUCCCGAGAAGCACGAGGUGAGUGGACCCAAGAGGUGUGUGUCGGGGGGGCCCAAGGGGCCUGCAGCUCCACCCAGAGCUGUGCCCGGUGAGCGGGCACCUCAGCGAGCCGCCGCAGGUCUUCUGGGUGAGCACGCGUGGGCCUCCUGUUGCAGGUUGAACACCUGCGCUCCUUCACAGAGGAUCGGGCCAGGCUGGCCAGCGCCGACCAGUUCUACCUACUCCUGCUGGAUAUCCCCUGGUGAGCUCGGCAGCCCCGGACCCGAGGGCCUGCCCAUGGGUGGGAGCUGGGCCCAGACCCAGAGAACAGAGCAGGGCUGUGUAGACGCGUCCCCAGGGUUUCACGAAGAGCAGUCCAGAUAUCACUGGUGCUGCCCCCAGCCGCGGGGCCCUCCAAGGGGACCCUGUGGGCCGGGGCCUCCCUCCCGGCCGGCGACGGCAUUGGGGGUGGGCAGCGGGCAGGGCUGUGUGGCCUCCAGCAGGCAGGCCCAGGCCCCCCUGUGUGACCCCCGGGAAGGCCCCUGUUCUAGGAGCGAGGAGUGCCCCACGAGGGAGCGCCUGCCCUCAUCUUUGGCAGCCAGGGGCUUGUCCAGAGCGCCCUUCCCGGGCCCACGCCAGGCCUGCUGCAUCCCACUUGGGGCCCGGCCCGGGAAGCUGCGUGCUGAACAGGGCCAGGCCGUGGGACCACCCCCCACCAGCUCUGCCGAGAGGACCCUGCGGGCCCAGGGAAGGUGGGUGGAGGCCCCCAGGCCCUGA